rnacentral:lncRNA from 1 species
CCACAUCACAAAAAUAACCAAACACCAAAAUCCAAACUCAAAAGUUACAACUUUCAGAGAAUAACAGAACAAAAGAGAAAAAAAAACAGCAAUCACAGAGACCCAAAAUUGGAAAAAAAAAGUGCUAGAAGCUGAAAGGAAAAUAAAUUGAAGAAUAGAGUUGACACAAGAAAUUACUUGAAAAUCAAAGGGAGUUAUCAUUUUCCUUUCCUAAGGAAGAGAGAAUCAAGGUCAAUCCUGCAACAGAGAAGCUAUAUUGGCGAGAUUGCAAUCCCGCCAUCUCGCACUCACAGCUUUUCCAACUUCUACUGGGUCUCCUCACACUAUCCGCCAUCCCGCACUCACAGCUUUUCCAACUUCUGCCGGGUCUCCUCACACUAUCCGCCAUCCCGCACUCACAAUUUCCUAAAUUAGAAAGAAAAUUAUAAAAGAAAUCAAGUUUCCAUGGAACUUUCAUCAAGUUUCCAUGGAAAUUUCAAGAAUUAUUUAAUGAUUUUUAAAACUCAUUGAGAAUAAUGAUUUCUAGAACUCAUUGAGAAUUUCAAGAAAUGGAGAGAAAAAAAGAGAGAGGGAAGGACUGAGAGGAAGGAGAAGAAAAAGAGAUGCGCGGAGAGGAUAAAAGAAAUAGAGAUUAUAUGAGGGAGAAGAAGGAUGGAGGGAAGAAAUAGAAAAUAUAUGAGGAAGAAGAAAGAUGGAGGGAAGAAACAGAGAAGAUACGAGGGAGAAGGAUGGAGGGAAGAAACAGAAAAGAUAUGAAGUAGAAGAAGGGUUUAAUAAGUUCAUUAAGGGCAUUUUUGGAAAAAAUUUUCACCUCUCACCUUUGACUCUUUGACCAAACGGCUAUUUUGGACGGAAGGACUACGAAUUUGGACGGAAGAGAAAGUGAGGGACUUAAGUGUUGGGUUGCCAAAAUAGAGGGACUUAAGUGUUGGGUUGCCAAAAU